rnacentral:misc_RNA from 1 species
AACGGUCUAUACCUGCGGUACCUGCGGAGGGAUCAUUAACAAAUUUGUUGAGUAUGUACAAUUGUGAACAGGCCAGAGUUUGUAUCUGAAGAAGCAUUUGUGUUGCUGAAUAUUUGUGUAGCAGAUAAGCAAUUAUUUGUGUAGCUAAAGAAGCAGAUGAGCAAUUAUUUGUCUAGCUAAAUAAGCAAUUAUUUGUGUAGCUAAAUAUUUGUCUAGCUGAAUAAGCAAAUUCACUACAAA